AGUGAAGCGGGAACAGCUCAAAUUUUAAAUCUCCCUCCAGGGCGAAUUGUAGUUUAGAGAAGCGUUUUCUGAGAUAGCUUGGGUGGAAGUCCUUUGGAACGAGGUGCCAUAGAGGGUGAGAGCCCCGUUCCACCCAAAGCCUAUUUCUUUGUGAUACGCUUUCGAAGAGUCGGGUUGUUUGGGAUUGCAGCCCAAAAUGGGUGGUAAUUAUCAUCUAAAGCUAAAUAUUGGCGAGAGACCGAUAGCGAACAAGUACCGUGAGGGAAAGAUGAAAAGAACUUUGAAAAGAGAGUUAAACAGUACGUGAAAUUGCCAAAAGGGAAACGCUUGGAACCAGUGUUGCAACCUGUAAUCAACCGUUCCUCCGAACGGCACACUUGCAGGGCGCAGGUCAACAUCAGUUUGGACCUGGGUUAAAAAGCUGCCUGGGGUUCCUCGGAACCACUUGUAGCCAUGGCCUGGGCUGGACUGAGGACUGCUAACAGGAUGUUGACGAAAUGGUUUCAAACGACCCGUCUUGAAACACGGACCAAGGAGUCUAACAAAUAUGCGAGUAUUUGGGUGGUAAACCCUCAUGCGCAAUGAAAGUGAAAAAGGUGGGAACCUCGGUGCACCAUCGACCGGUCUGGAUUUUUUUGAUAGAUCUGAGUAAGAGCAUAUCUGUUAGGACCCGAAAGAUGGUGAACUAUGCCUGAAUAGGGUGAAGCCAGAGGAAACUCUGGUGGAGGCUCGUAGCGAUUCUGACGUGCAAAUCGAUCGUC
rnacentral:rRNA from 1 species